UUUGAUCAUGAACCGUAAAAU
rnacentral:piRNA from 1 species